rnacentral:tRNA from 1 species
CUUCCCGUAGCGCAGCCGGAUAGCGCGCGAGGUUCCGAACCUUGAGGCCGUUGGUUCAAGUCCAACCGGGAAGGCCA